GACGAACGCUGGCGGCGUGCUUAACACAUGCAAGUCGAACGGAAAGGCCCUGCUUUUGUGGGGUGCUCGAGUGGCGAACGGGUGAGUAACACGUGAGUAACCUGCCCUUGACUUUGGGAUAACUUCAGGAAACUGGGGCUAAUACCGGAUAGGAGCUCCUGCUGCAUGGUGGGGGUUGGAAAGUUUCGGCGGUUGGGGAUGGACUCGCGGCUUAUCAGCUUGUUGGUGGGGUAGUGGCUUACCAAGGCUUUGACGGGUAGCCGGCCUGAGAGGGUGACGGGCAAAUGGGGGAGGGAGAGCGGGCAGGAAGCCGGGGGGGAGAAUGGGGGGGGGAAGUGGGACGAAGGGAGGGAAGUCGGGUGAAGCAGCCCCGGGUGGGGGAUGGGGCCCUUCGGUUAGAAGCCCGUUUCCAGCGGGAAGAGAGGGUGAGUGCGGGGAGUGGAUAAAGAAGCACCGGCUAACUCCGUG
rnacentral:rRNA from 1 species